UUCCAGAGGUUCCAGCUCAGCUGCUCCCUUCUCGGAUUCCUCUGCCUCCAUGCUUGCGGGCCUGACAACCUUUCAAAAGGGGGAUUCCUUCGAGCCGGAUUCGAACCAGCGGCCUAAGGAUGACCAUGUCUAGGUUGGUUCGAUAAAUGAUAUAAUUACGUAAACACAGACAUCUGGGUUGAAGAGGAUCCCAAAGUUGUGAACAGAGCAAUAUCCAGUGUAUUUUGGUAUCAUUGUGAUUCUCUUUUCUGAAAAUCUAAUGGGAAAUCGUGUAUAUUCAUAGCUCUAAUGAUGAAAUAUGUGGAGUGUGUGUGUGAAUUUUCUUACUUGGAUAAAUAAUUUGGGUGGUUCAUAUAAUAUUGCAUAAUUAUUGUGGAGCAAUUAAAGUGAAA